CUGAGAUCAAGAGUCAACAUGCUCCACCAACUGAGCCAGCCAGGAUAGAGUGAAGCAGAUGCCAAAAGAGGGACAGAGAAGAUACUGAAGGAGUGGGGGGAGUGACAUCUUCCACCUGGGGACUCCAAGCAGCUUUCUGGAGAAGGUUUCAGACCAACUCCCUAUGUACUCACUUCAUCUGACCUGAAGCUUUUCCACAUGUCUGCUCACCCCCAGUGAUGCUGAAGAUCCUGGUUCCCACCCCACCCUGGAGGAUUUCUUGGUGGCAUGUGCCAAGGAGAGAGUUUGAGCGGUCACUGUCUACCAUGAAGCCCCAGCUCGUGCUCAUUUUUUCAGACCUGACUUGCCAGUCUGGUUCCAGCCCAUUGUGAAACUGAAUAAAAGAAACUUAAUUUAAAAUGGAGUGGGGAGGGGCGCCUAGGUGGCUCAGUGGGUUGAGUGUCUGACUUUGUCUCAGGUUAUGAUCUCACAGUUCACGAGUUCGAGCCCUGCAUCGCUCUGUGUUCAACGCAGAGUAUGCUUUGGAUCCUCUGUCCUCGCCCCCCCCCACCUCACUGCCCCUCCCCUGCUCACACUC